CCGCCUCGGUGCGCGGCAGCGCCACGUCGCUGUGGCGCCGCUCGUGCCUCGCGCGGGACACCCGGGCGUGCAUGCGCAUCUGCUGCUCGUCGGGCGGCGGUUUCACCGGGUACCGCGCCAGGUUCGGGUCGCUGCGAUACCUGCUUCCUGCUAAGUACUGAAGUGCUUGAGUUCCCGACCCCGACAUGGAAGAGCUGGAUUGUGUUCCCAGCGCCUAACUCCAGCCUGACCCAGUCCCAGCCCAUUACGUGUAUUUGGGGAGUGAACCAGUUUUAGAAAUUUCCAGCAGUCACACCAUAAGUUACAAGAAGGAGGUGCCUUGGCUAAGCAGUCUCACCCUAUAGAUCGAAUGUGCAAUUAAAAUGGAGACAACCCAGACUCAUUUGGACAUUCUAAGGACCUAAGAAAGUACACCAUAGAGAGUGACCACUCUUCACAACAUCUGAAACAGAGCUACUGUGGACCUACAAAAGCACUCCUUGUUCUGUCAGAAGACUGUCUCCAUCCUGAUGGCUUGCACCUCUGCACACGCACAAAAACACUCUUAAGAAACAGAAAGAAGGACUUACAAUGCUGAGUCAUUUGCCUGUUCUCCCCCAACUUUGUGUAGUCAUGAAAGUCAAAGUACUACUACUAAGCACUUAUGUUUGAGGUUAAUAAACUCUUCAAACAUCUUAUAAGGGCAUUUUAAAUAGCUCAUGGAAAAGGGAAUUAAAAUAUAAAUUUAUUCUGGUUAAAAAAACUUUUGAAGUCCAUUUAUAGUCAUUUCAUAAUACAUACUUUCCACGAACUUUUUGAAGCCUCUUAAAUGCCUACUGCAAUGACAGCUAAGGAUAAGGUUCAUUGAGGUACUUCUCUUUCCUUCAACCCUCAAUCCCAUUUCAACUUUGUAUAUGGGUUAUUAUUUACCACAGAGCCAACUAGUGGGUUUAGAUUAUGCCUCAGAUUCUGUGGAUCCAACAUGAUGACCAAUGUUUCACUAAUGGAAAAUGUUCCUAGUCUCAAAUACAAAUGGUUCCUCUCUUAGUGAAAUUUCUUUAUCCUAUUCAUAGUUUUGUCUUUUUCUUCUUGUAUAUUUGAUUUUUUACUUCUAGCCCCCUCCUUCUAGAGCUCCCAUUCUUCUGCUCCAAAUCUCUCUCUAGGCUUCUCAGUAAUCAGUUCUUUCUGGGACUUUUCUUAACUGUUUACUCUUCUACAAACAGAUCAUUUACUUCUUGGAAUUCCUUUUUUCCUCUUUCUUGGUAGACUUUCUUUUGCUAAAGAGAAUAUAUAAGUGGUAAGUUUUACAAGUCCUUCCAGAUUCUCAAAAUAUCUUAUACUACCUGUAUAUUUGAUUGAUGGCUGUCUAUGUAGAUACAGAAUUGCAGGAUCCACAUAAUUUUAUAUAUAGGCAACGCAUUGACAAAGAAUUGCUCUUGUAAAAAAAGUAAUGUACAAGUACAAGAAUAGGAAAGAAACCAUAAAAUAAUUUUUAAGUAUGGAGGAGAAUAAAUAUUUCAAAAUUAAUAGAAGACAAUUCCCAGAGUACAGAUCUCACUGAACUUUAUUACAAUGAAUGGAAACUGAAACCUUGAAGAUACGAAAUUGGUAUAUAAUUUCAAUAUACCAAAGUAAAGAUCAUAAGGCAGGCUCCGCGGCUCACUAGGCUAAUCCUCUGCCUUGCGGCACUGGCACACUAGGUUCUAGUCCCGGUCGGGGUGCCGGAUUCUGUCCCAGUUGCCCCUCUUCCAGGCCAGCUCUCUGCUGUGGCCAGGGAGUGCAGUGGAGGAUGGCCCAAGUCCUUGGGCCGUGCACCCCAUGGGAGACCAGGAGAAGCACCUGGCUCCUGCCAUCGGAUCAGCGCGGUGCGCUGGCCGCAGUGCGCCGGCCGCAGUGGCCAUUGGAGGGUGAACCAACGGCAAAGGAAGACCUUUCUCUCUGUCUCUCUCUCUCUCUCUAUCUACUCUGCCUGUCAAAAAUAAAUAAAUAAAUAGAAAAAUAAAGAUCAUAAAAGCUUCUAGAGAGAAAAAAUCAUGCUGCUGUACAUGUCUAAUAUUCCCAUUAUCCUGAUUCUGGGGAGAUCACGGCAUGUAAGCAGCAACAAUGAAUACUGAAUGAGGUGGCCUGUGUGGGACUGAAUUCCAGUUCUCCUAACUUCUUGUUUCACUACCUAGGAUAGAUUAUAUCAUUUCUCUGUGCUUUAGUAUCCUCAUUUAUAAAAUAGGGAAAUAAUGAUUUCAUAGAUUAUACAUGAAGAUUAAGUAAGAUACUAUAUGUAACUUGUUUGAUGCACAGUAAUUAAUAAAAUGCUAAUUACUCUGAUUUGGUAAUGACAUGUUGAACAAUGUACCAAAUCUUCUCACUGUGCUUCAUAAAUAUGUAUAAUUAUUAUGUCAACAAAAUAUUUCAUGACAAAAUAUUUGUCUUAACAAUAUAUGAAAGUUAUUGACAGUAUAUAUUUAAAUGAAAAGUAAAUAUUCUUUUCCUAUAAUAUAAAGAGCUAUGUUUAGGUGCCUGCGCUGUGGCAUAGCAGGUAAAGCCAACAUCUGCAGCGCCAGCAUCCCAUUGGGCGCUGGUUCGAGUCCCGGCUGCUCUGUUUUCGAUCCAGUUUUCUGCUAUGGCCUGGGAAAGCAUUAAAAGAUGGCCCAAGUCCUUGGGGCCUUGCACCCACAUGGGAGACCCAGAGGAAGAUCCUGGCUCUUAGCUUCAGAUCAGCUCAGCUCCAUCCGUUGUGGCUAUUUGGGGAGUGCCCCAGCAGAUGGAAUACCUCUCUCUCUCUCUCUCUCUCUCUCUCUAUGACUCUGCCUCUCUGUAACGCUGCCUUUCAAAUAAACAAAUAAAUCUUUUUUUUUUAAAAAAAAAGAGCUAUGUUAUACAUACUUCUGAUUUCAAUUAAUUAUUUGAGACCAUGUUAUGUGCUGGGCAUUGUUUUAAGCACUGGGGAAGCAGCAGAGAACAAAACAGACAAAAAUUCUGUCCUGCAGUAUGUAUUCCAGUGAAAGAAGACAAAGAAAACUAAAACAUAAUAGUAAACAUAGAUAACAUGCUAGAUGUUGACACAUACCAGAAACAAAUGCAGAGGAAAAAAGGUAGAGGACGAUCCACUCGGUAGGUGGUUCAAUUUAAAAUUGAUUGGUCAAGGCAAACUUCACCAAGAAAGUGCUGAGUAAGACUAUGCUAGGCAGAUAAUCUGAGGGAAAACCUUUUGGGCAACAACAACAACAACAACAACAAAUGGAAAAGGAAAAGAACCUUGAUGGGGCUUAUUCCUGGCAGUUUUGAGGAACAGCUGGAACUAAGUGAAGGGUUGAAUAGUAUAAGAUGGGGCCGGCGCCACGGCUCACUAGGCUAAUCCUCCGCCUAGCGGUGCCGGCACACCGGGUUCUAGUCCCGGUCGGGGUGCCGGAUUCUGUCCCGGUUGCCCCUCUUCCAGGCCAGCUCUCUGCUGUGGCCAGGGAGUGCAGUGGAGGAUGGCCCAGGUGCUUGGGCCCUGCACCCCAUGGGAGACCAGGAUAAGUACCUGGCUCCUGCCAUCGGAUCAGCGCGGUGCGCCGGCCGCAGCGUGCCGGCCGCGGCAGCCAUUGGAGGGUGAACCAAUGGCAAAGGAAGACCUUUCUCUCUGUCUCUCUCUCUCACUGUCCACUCUGCCUGUCAAAAAAAUAAAAAUAAAAAAUAAAUAAAAAAAAGAAUAGUAUAAGAUGGGUUUGCGAAGGAGCAGCUGAGUUGGUCUUUGGGAGCUACUGCAAACAUACUGACUUUUAUGAGGAGAAAAAUGUGGACCCAUUGAGGGUUUCAGAGCUGCUAUGUGUUAGGUUUAAGUAGGAUCCCUCUGGUGGUUGUUGUGAGAAUAAAAUGCAUUUGUGAGUUACAUUCCAAUACUGCUAGUUUUACUCUUUUAGCUACUUUUUGCCAGAUAAAGUUCUAUAUUCUUUUGGUUAAUUUUUUAUGUCAUUUUUAGAGCUGUAUUUCUUCUUAUAGUAGAACAGGACUGAAUCAUAUUUUUUAAUCCAAUCUAGAAUCAUUGGGUGAACAUCAUAGAGUGUACUUACACAAACUAAAAUGGCUACAAUGUAACUAAACAAUAGAAUCUUACAAGUUCACCAUUAUUUAAGUGGUCUGUCAUUGACCAAAAUGUUCUUAAGCAGAUGACUGUAUAACUAUAAAAGAAAAUUAAAUAAUCAAGGCUUUUACAAGUAAACAUUAUUCUCCUUGCAAACUAUCUCACUUCUAUUCACUUCCUUUUCUAUUUAAGUUCAAGCUAGUUGUUUAAGGAAUCUAAAUUUAUUUCAUGCCCAUGCUCUUAUACUUCAUUUAUUUCUUCCUCCUUAAAAUCUGACUCCCAUUCUCACAAUUAUAUUUUUCUUUCAUAUACAUUAUUGAUCUAUUCUAUAGUGCUAAUGGAACUUAAAAUUAAAAAGUAAAUAUAACAUAGAGAAAAUUAAUUAAACCAGAAAUUAGCUCUUUGAGAGGAUUAAUAAAAUUAAUGGACAUUUCACUAACCAAGAAAUAUAAUUACCAAAAGAGAUGAUAUCACUAAAGAUUCUAGACUCAUUCAAAGAAAAAAUAGGGCAAUGUGACUAAACAAAACCAAACCAACUUUAUGAGACAGAGACUAAAGAGAUAAGUAAAGUUAAACAAGUUGUAAGGAUGGGGGCCUGAUUGACAAUUUCGGAGAAUAUCAGCAUACUUAUUAAAACAAAUCACAGGGAGUUGUCCCCCUCUUAUUUUACCAAUAAAUCUCAUUACAUGGCUAAAAUAGAUAAAUUCCUCAGAAAUUAAAAUUACCAAAACAAACACAAUCCCAAAUAGUCAUAACUAUUAAAUUAAAUUAAACUUUAAUAUAUAACUAUUAAAGAAGGUGAAUUCAUAAUUAAAAUCUAAUUUACAAUGAACAUGUCAGAACCAGAAAUGUUCACUGGAAAAUUCCUAAAAAUAUAUUUAAAGAGUAAAUGAUAAGGGUUGGAUUAGACUGUUAUUAUUAUUAUUUGUAGGGCAGAGUUACAGAGAGAAGAGGGAGGGAGGGAGGGAGAGAGAAUCUUCCAUUGACUGAAUCACUCCCCAAAUGGCCACAAUGGCCACAGCUGGGCCAGGCUGAAGCCAGGAGCCAGGGGUUUUCUCUAGCCCUCCCAUGUGGUUGCAUGGGCCUGAGCACUUGGGCCAUCUUCCAUGCUUUCCCAGGUGCAUUAGCAGGGAGGUGGGAUGGGAGUGGAGCAGCUGGGUCUGGAACUGGUGCCCAUAUGGGAUGCCAGCUUCCCAGGUGGAGAGUUAAGCUGUUAUGCCACAGUGCUGCCCCUGAAAAGUUUUAACACGUGUAACUGGAACCAAGGUUUAACUUGUUCAAUUGGCACCUAUAAGGGGAGAAUAAGGAAUCUGAAACAGAAUACAGAAUAUGAAGCAAAAGCAGUACAUGAGGCCAUAGGCUUUCCAAAAUUGCUGUAAACCGAGUGACUGUGUCACCGUCAAAUUUGUAUAUUAUAAUGGUUCUCUCCAACACGAUAGCAUUUGGAGCUGGAGCCUUGUGUGGCAACUAAGUUUAGAUGGGUUCAUGAGACUGAAGCCCUCAUGGUCAGAUGCAUGGCCUUAUGAGAAAAGACCAGACUGUUCUCUCCUGCAGCCAUCCUGCCCACCAGAUACCAAGUCAGACACCACAUCUGCUCUCACGUUGAUGCCUAAUUCUAUCAGUAAGGUGAGGAAUAAAUGUUGUUUAAGUCAGUCCAUGAUAUCCUACUACAGCAGUGUGAAAUAAAUCACAAGUGAAAGAUAUUAUUGAUAUAAAUCAAAUUACAGAUUUAAGGACUGCUGCAAACCAUGAACAGAACAUAGUAAAAAAAAAGACAAGGGCUACGUACAUCAUAAUAAAACUACAGAAAAUCAAAGAAAAAGCUUUCAAAAAAAAAAAAAGAGAAAAAGACACAUUGUUUCCAAAGGUCUAAUGUAAUAUUGAUAACUGACCUCAUAAUAGAAGUUAGACAAGAACACAAUGCAGUUAUAUGUUUGUGAUGAAGCAAAAUAAAUGCUUAAUGAAGUCUUAAAGACUGCAAAUAUUGGUUUUUUUAAAAAUAGAUUUUUUUAUUCAAACCAGAAGUGAAUGUGUUAUAAGCAGACUCAUAGGAAGGUAACACUAAUAAAAACUUUUAGUGCAAGAAAAAUGAGGACAAAUGCAAACAAAGAUACUGGAAAAAUAGAGAGUAACAGUUGGUAAAACUAAAUAUGCUUAAGAGAAAUAGGGCAACUUCAGAAAGACAAAUACCAUGUGAUCUCAUUCAUAUGCAGAAUCUAGAAGAGUUGAUCUUACAGAAGUGGAGAGUAUAAGGGUGGUUACCAGAGGCUGGGGAGGGAAAGGGGGAAGGAAGAGACAGGAAAAGGUUGAUUCAUGGGCACUAAGAACUGCUGCUCCUGUAUGGCACAGUAGGGUGACAAGGGCUAUGAUAAGGUGCUGUGUAUUUCUCUAAAAGAAGUAAGAAUAAUUUUUGAUGUUUUUCAACAGAAAGAAAUAUUAAAUGUUUGAGGAGACAGAUCCAUUACUCUAAUUGGAAAACACACAAUGAAUACAUGUAUCAAAGCAUCAUAUAGUAUCUCAUAAAUAUGUACAGCUUUAUGUCAGUUACAUUUUUUAAAUUAAAAAAAAUGAAUAUUGUUUAGUAGAGGGUUAAGCCUAUGAUUAUAAAAAAAUUGAAAUAAGUCAUUGUGAAAUUUAAAAGUAAGAAAAGAAGGAGGGCGCAGGGUGGAGUUGUGGGAGGGAUGGAGGGAGGGUAGAGUGGAGGGUACACUAUGCUCUUAAAACUGUAUAUAUAAGAAAUUUGUUUCUUUUAUAUAAAU